rnacentral:rRNA from 1 species
GAUGAACGCUGGCGGCGUGCCUAAUACAUGCAAGUCGAGCGAACGGACGAGAAGCUUGCUUCUCUGAUGUUAGCGGCGGACGGGUGAGUAACACGUGGAUAACCUACCUAUAAGACUGGGAUAACUUCGGGAAACCGGAGCUAAUACCGGAUAAUAUUUUGAACCGCAUGGUUCAAAAGUGAAAGACGGUCUUGCUGUCACUUAUAGAUGGAUCCGCGCUGCAUUAGCUAGUUGGUAAGGUAACGGCUUACCAAGGCAACGAUGCAUAGCCGACCUGAGAGGGUGAUAGGCCACAAUGGAACUGAGACACGGUCCAGACUCCUACGGGAGGCAGCAGUAGGGAAUCUUCCGCAAUGGGCGAAAGCCUGACGGAGCAACGCCACGUGAGUGAUGAAGGUCUUCGGAUCGUAAAACUCUGUUAUUAGGGAAGAACAUAUGUGUAAGUAACUGUGCACAUCUUGACGGUACCUAAUCAGAAAGCCACGGCUAACUACGUG